rnacentral:snoRNA from 1 species
GGGACUGGCUGGGGGAAAAGAGGAAAUUUUGUCCCAGAAGGAACUGUCUGA